CUCAUAAACACAGCAGUUCUGUUUCUCCAGUCUAUAGAUGGCUGGAAGCAAGGCAUUUCAGGAACUCUCAUCCUAAGAGUAACAGUUUCCCAGUAAAAGGAGCAAGAAGGCAAUAUGAACACUUGAAUGUCACACCAGCUGCUCCAUCAGCCUACUCAGUCCUUAAGAGCUUCUAUCCUCUGUAGUUACUAAACAACAGUACAGUAAAUCAAUACCCACUUUUACAACACAAAGACUCUGGCUGAAAAAUAAGGAAGCAACUCCUCCUGGCAGGAACUAGGUGAGGACUUUUAACUUUGGGAUGCUCAGAGCCCCAAACAGAGUCUGACAUGGACAACACACCCAGUGAAUGACCGGAAACCAGAACUGCACCAAAGUCAGCAAUCACGGCAAGUAAAAUGGAGGGAUGAAGGAAGAGAUCAGAAGGAAGGAGGACUUUCAAGGCGGUGACAGACCCCGGGCACCUUCCAGCUUGUGAGCUGCAGAACUCUUCCACAGAGGAUGCGUGGAGGGGACAGCUUCAGCAUGGCCAUCAUGUACUGAAUCUGCAAACUUCCUCUCAUCCAUUUGUUUCCGUACCGCUCUCAGACUCCCUACCUCCCUUCUCUUUGGACAAGUUUCAAAUGGCAGUCUCCCACUGCCAUUUUCCCUAAUGAAUUUUCCCUAAUAAAAGUUGGCCUCUUC